ACCCCCAUAGCUCAAUUGGUAGAGCAACUGACUCUUAAUCAGUAGGUUCUAGGUUCGAGUCCUAGUGGGGGUA
rnacentral:tRNA from 1 species